CCACACUCAGUGAGAGGGAUUACAUGAAUGUGUGACCACCAGGAGAUGGUAACAAUUGGGGUCAUGAGGGGAUAUGACUGCUACAAUCUCCCAUCAUCAAAAACAAAAACAGGAAUCUUCAAAGCAAGAGCACCAGUGAAGAAUCUAUUUGGCUGAUAUGGACCCUGUUCUUGCUGGUUAAUGAUGAGCAUCACUGUUCAGCUAGAACACUUGUAUGAUCAUUACAUGGAUGACUCCCUGUGGAAAUGGGAAGGGAAUAAGGAAUACAUAUUUG
rnacentral:lncRNA from 1 species